UAGGGAAUCUUCGGCAAUGGACGGAAGUCUGACCGAGCAACGCCGCGUGAGUGAAGAAGGUUUUCGGAUCGUAAAGCUCUGUUGUAAGAGAAGAACGAGUGUGAGAGUGGAAAGUUCACACUGUGACGGUAUCUUACCAGAAAGGGACGGCUAACUACGUGCCAGCAGCCGCGGUAAUACGUAGGUCCCGAGCGUUGUCCGGAUUUAUUGGGCGUAAAGCGAGCGCAGGCGGUUAGAUAAGUCUGAAGUUAAAGGCUGUGGCUUAACCAUAGUAGGCUUUGGAAACUGUUUAACUUGAGUGCAAGAGGGGAGAGUGGAAUUCCAUGUGUAGCGGUGGAAUGCGUAGAUAUAUGGAGGAACACCGGUGGCGAAGGCGGCUCUCUGGCUUGUAACUGACGCUGAGGCUCGAAAGCGUGGGGAGCAAACAGGAUUAGAUACCCUGGUAGUCCACGCUGUAAACGAUGAGUGCUAGGUGUUAGACCCUUUCCGGGGUUUAGUGCCGUAGCUAACGCAUUAAGCACUCCGCCUGGGGAGUACGACCGCAAGGUU
rnacentral:rRNA from 1 species